rnacentral:rRNA from 1 species
GAACUUAAGCAUAUCAAUAAGCGGAGGAAAAGAAACUAACAAGGAUUCCCCUAGUAACUGCGAGUGAAGCGGGAAAAGCUCAAAUUUAAAAUCUGGUGGUCCCGAGUUGGCUGCCCGAGUUGUAAUCUAGAGAAGUGCUUUCCGCGCUGGACCGUGUACAAGUCUCUUGGAACGGAGCGUCGUAGAGGGUGACAAUCCCGUCUUUGACACGGACUGCCAGGGCUUAUGUGAUGCGCUCUCGAAGAGUCGAGUUGUUUGGGAAUGCAGCUCAAAAUGGGUGGUAAAUUCCAUCUAAAGCUAAAUAUGGGCGAGAGACCGAUAGCGAACAAGUACCGUGAGGGAAAGAUGAAAAGAACUUUGAAAAGAGAGUUAAACAGUACGUGAAAUUGUUGAAGGGGAAACGAUUCAAGUCAGUCGCGUUGGCCGGUAAUCAACCCUUGCGAAGGCGGGGGCUUACUUUCCGUCUGACGGGUCAGCAUCAAUUUUGACCGUCAGAUAAAGGUUUGGGGAACGUGGCAUCUUCGGAUGUGUUAUAGCCCCUUGUCAGAUGUGACGGUUGGGAUUGAGGAACUUGGCACGCCCGCAAAGGGUCGGGGCUUUUUGCCCACGUAACGUGCUUUGGAUGCUGGCAUAAUGGCUUGAACCGACCCGUCUUGAAACACGGACCAAGGAGUCUAACAUGCCUGCGAGUGUUUGGGUGGCAAACUCGAGCGCGAAGUGAAAGUGAAACUUGUCGAGAUCUCUGUCGUGGGGAGCACCGACGCCCGGACCUGACCUUUUGUGAAGGAUCCGCGGUUGAGCAUGCAUGUUGGGACCCGAAA